UGGGGAAUAUUGGACAAUGGGCGCAAGCCUGAUCCAGCCAUGCCGCGUGAGUGAUGAAGGCCCUAGGGUUGUAAAGCUCUUUCACCGGUGAAGAUAAUGACGGUAACCGGAGAAGAAGCCCCGGCUAACUUCGUGCCAGCAGCCGCGGUAAUACGAAGGGGGCUAGCGUUGUUCGGAUUUACUGGGCGUAAAGCGCACGUAGGCGGACUAUUAAGUCAGGGGUGAAAUCCCGGGGCUCAACCCCGGAACUGCCUUUGAUACUGGUAGUCUUGAGUUCGAGAGAGGUGAGUGGAAUUCCGAGUGUAGAGGUGAAAUUCGUAGAUAUUCGGAGGAACACCAGUGGCGAAGGCGGCUCACUGGCUCGAUACUGACGCUGAGGUGCGAAAGCGUUGGGAGCAAACAGG
rnacentral:rRNA from 1 species